GAAACGCUCUUCUCGCGGUUAUAAACCGCGACACGAGGUGUGAUUUAUGAACGAAACGGUGGUAAAAUUGUUAUUAGAGCGGGGAUACACACGCGCGAGAAAAGGAAGAAGGAAUGAAAGGAAAGAGGUCUGUAAGUCUGUUACAGACAUCGUUAUUAGGACGAGUUGGAAGGAUACGAGGACUGGAUAUGGAAAUAAAAAGAAGAGGGGGCCUGGAUUCCAGCCUGGUAUCUACCUUUGGAGAAGGGUGAGGGAAGAGUAUUCCCGGCCAGGAUUCUCUUCUCCGUUGCCAAUCGUUAUCCGAGAUUUAUUGUUUCCCGAGGAUCGGCGGGUCACGGAAUCGGGUUCAUUCUCCUGCUCGCCCUCGCGAGAGUUCCCCAUUCAAGCGGGGCUGCUUUGCAUAAAUUUCCGUGCAGAUGCGACGCGAUAUCACAUCGGCGUCGUGAUAGAAAUAGAAUGUAUAUAUAUAUAUAGAAUAUACGCGAGUACAAGAGUAAGAAUCGAUAUUAGAGGGAUUGAUAUUUCUUUUUGUUCGAAUGAUUUCUGAAAAAAUUGUUUUAAAACGAUGGAAAAAAACAUUUGGAUGAUUUUUGAUCGGAAUAAUCUUCAAAUGGAUCAUUGAAUUAAAAUUUAGAAAA